CGUCUAUAUACGUAUAGCAUAUCAAUAAGCGGAGGAAAAGAAACUAACAAGGAUUCCCUUAGUAACGGCGAGUGAAGCGGGAAGAGCUCAAAUUUGAAAUCUUCAAGGUUCUACCUUGACGAAUUGUAGUUUAAAGAAGUGUUUUCUGUUAGAGGAGUAGGCAAAAGUUCCUUGGAAUAGGACAUCAUAGAGGGUGAGAAUCCCGUAUUUGGUUAUCCUUUCUAGCUUUGUGAUACACUUUCAAAGAGUCGGACUGUUUGGGAAUGCAGUCCAAAAUGGGUGGUAAAUUUCAUCUAAAGCUAAAUAUUGGCGAGAGACCGAUAGCGAACAAGUACCGUGAGGGAAAGAUGAAAAGAACUUUGAAAAGAGAGUUAAACAGUACGUGAAAUUGUCAAAAGGGAAGCGUUUGACACCAGUGUUGUUUUUUCCGAAAAUCAAUUAAGAGUGGCUUGAUUUUGUGUUGUAUUGACCUUAUCAGCUUUCUUCACUCUUUUUCGAGUCUUUCUUAAUGCACUUUUCGGUUAACAAGUCAACAUCAAUUUCUUUUGUUGUAAAAGGGUAUUUGGAAGGUGGCUUUCUUUUCGGAGAAAGUGUUUAUAGCCUUAUACCUCUACAAUCGGAGAGAUUGAGGUCUGCAGCGUAGAUCCUUCGGGGCUAGAUACACUUGUGCUAAGUUAUAGCUUUUCAUAGACAACUUGUUGACUAUGUUUAGUCAUGUAGCUUACCCGCUUGUGCUAUUUUACCUACGCUUAGGAUGUUGAGUCAUCACACAUCUCU
rnacentral:rRNA from 1 species